GGGGCUGAUUCUGGAUUCGACGGGAUUUGCGAAACCCAAGGUGCAUGCCGAGGGGCGGUUGGCCUCGUAAAAAGCCGCAAAAAAUAGUCGCAAACGACGAAAACUACGCUUUAGCAGCUUAAUAACCUGCUUAGAGCCCUCUCUCCCUAGCCUCCGCUCUUAGGACGGGGAUCAAGAGAGGUCAAACCCAAAAGAGAUCGCGUGGAAGCCCUGCCUGGGGUUGAAGCGUUAAAACUUAAUCAGGCUAGUUUGUUAGUGGCGUGUCCGUCCGCAGCUGGCAAGCGAAUGUAAAGACUGACUAAGCAUGUAGUACCGAGGAUGUAGGAAUUUCGGACGCGGGUUC
rnacentral:tmRNA from 1 species